GCUGGGUGUGGUGGUGCACACCUGUAGUCUCAGCUGCUUGGGAGACUGAGACAGGAGGACUGCUUGAGCCUGGGAGGUCAAGUCUGCAGUGAGCUAUGAUCAUGCCACUGCACUCCAGCCUGGGCAACUAAGCAAAAACCUGUCUCUU
ensembl:misc_RNA Metazoa_SRP Metazoan signal recognition particle RNA